rnacentral:lncRNA from 1 species
AAAUAAAGGCAACAGUAGAAUACCGCUGUUCAAAACUCAUAAAUCCAUGGACAAAAAACAAAAUCGGGGUAACAAAAUAAAACCAAGGAAACGCAUUAAAUAUAAGAGGAGAACAACGACACAACACUGAAAUGUAACACACACAGAAACGGACCAAGCAUCAGACAAAAUCCCACGAGAAUAACAAAUAUAACAUCAAAACCAAUUACAUGAAUUUGGGAUAGACAAGAACCGUGACACGUCUUAUCGCAAUGUGAAUUUACACUAAAAAAUAAGAGAAAACAAACGACGCAACGUUAAAAUGUUACACACACAGAAACGAACAAUAAUAUAACAA